ensembl:snRNA U1 U1 spliceosomal RNA
GUUUUGUGCUAGUGGGGUACUAAUACAUGAUCAGGACGGCAGUUUUCCCAGCAUGAAGCUUAUCUGUUGCACUCCAGGUGUGCUGACCCCUGUCACUUCCUCAAAUGUGGGAAACACUGCGUAACUUGUGGUAGUUGGGGACUGCGUUCUCAGCCUCCUC